AGUCAUGAUGUUCCUGUGCACUCUGCUUCUGCUGUCAAUAAUUCAACAUGGAUGCUUUGCACAGACAAUAACACCACUGCAGGACAGAACACAAGUUACUGAAGGGAAUCCAGUUAAUCUGUCAUGCAAAUAUGAUGUCAGUGUACAGAAUUUACUUUGGUAUCGACAGUAUCCGGGAUCAGGACUGGAAUUUCUGCUCCUUGUCGUUGAGUCACCCAAGAAAAAUGUAGUAUAUGCAGAUCCCCCUAUUCCUAGACUGGAUGGUGAAUUGAGUAUGAAAGAUAAACAAGUGGAUCUGGAGAUCUCUUCUGCUGAAGUGACAGACUCUGCUCUGUACUACUGCGCUCUGAGGCCCACAGUGACAGAAAACAUGACAACACUGUACAAAAACCUCCAAUCGGUGGUCAUAAAAGUAUAUAUAUAUAUAUAUAUAUAUAUAUAUAUAUAUAUACAUACUAUAAUAAUAUAUAUAAAGACACAUCAUGCAGAGGUGUGUUAGUAAUAACCCUACAACUAAUAUAAGGCUAAACUGAACAACAACAACAACAACAAACAAUUUAAUAUCAAAGUCAGCUAAACAACACCAUUAUAAACUUGCUCAAAAAAAAAAAAAAAACAAGGUGGCACAUUUUCCUGUUUUGAGUGUUUACUGUAAAAUGUAAUACAAACUACAGCCAGCUGAUUUUCUUGUUCCUUAAGAAAGGAAAGUUAAAAUAUUCACAAUUAUCCUCAAUGGAUUUGAUUCUAUUUGACUAUUUUACUGAAACGUGUUUCCCCUGGCCAGUGUAUGGACACAGACACUUGUGAUGUGAUGGCUAAAAUUAUCCACAAGAGGGAGUUCUUCACUUAAAAAAUUAUUUAAACGGCUAAUAAGGGGAGGAGAUACAAGGCAAUUCAUUCAGGCAUGCAGAGGUUUCAAACAGUUGCUCAUCUGUUCCUUGUCAGUAAUGCUAUUCCUAUUUUGUCUGUGGUUUAUCUCCCUCUUAACAGGUAAGAUCAAUGCAAUUAAUCAAACAAACUUAAGAAAAAAAACAAUAUAACAUACUUUACUUCUGUAGUUCUGUUCAUCUCCAUUCAUUAUUCCCAUCGUUCUUCCUCUCUUUCUCUUAGGUGAUGCCUCUAGUGAGGGAAUAGCACCAGUCUCUCCUAAGGAAUUUGUCUCAGAAGGGAACGCAAUCACCCUGUCCUGCAAUUACAAUGGAUCAGCUAAUAUAGAUGCUCUUCAUUGGUAUCGUCAGUACCCGAGAUCCAGACCAGACUUCCUGUUUCUAGUUAAUGAAGCUGCAUUUAUGCAAACAGCUGAUCCUCCAAUUGCUGGAAUAUCUGCUAGAUUAAAUGAGGAGAAAAAUCGUGUGCAUCUGGAGAUCACUGGCACUGCAUUAACUGAUUCUGCUCUGUACUACUGUGCCCUGCAGCCCACAGUGACAGGAAACACAUGUGCACUGUACAAAAAUCAGACACAUUAAAAUAGAAGCUGUAAUCUGUUUUCAGUGUCUGUG
ensembl:lncRNA